GACGAACGCUGGCGGCGUGCCUAAUACAUGCAAGUCGAACGAACUCUGGUAUUGAUUGGUGCUUGCAUCAUGAUUUACAUUUGAGUGAGUGGCGAACUGGUGAGUAACACGUGGGAAACCUGUCCAGAAGCGGGGGAUAACACCUGGAAACAGAUGCUAAUACCGCAUAACAACUUGGACCGCAUGGUCCGAGCUUGAAAGAUGGCUUCGGCUACCACUUUUGG
rnacentral:rRNA from 1 species